GUGAAAAACACUGAUUUUAUUCUGGACACAAAAGCAUGAUUGUUGCAGAUUCUCGCAGUUUGUCAAUUUUCACUGGAUUUUGUCCAUGUGGAGAAAAUCCAGUGUCUAGUGAAUAACCCUGAGUGUGUUUGUGUACAUGUAAACAGAUUUAACCUAGAAGCUUUUUCAAAGCAUCAAAUAUGCAAACAAGACUAAAAAACGUAUGUGGAGAAAUGAGCAGA